AACCAGAGGAUAAAAGCGUGACGAGGGAUAGCUUUCCUGUGCCAAACAAGCUUAUGCCAGAAAACAGAAGCAGCUCGGGGGCGGAGACUAUCCCAAGCAGAUUUGAUGGAAAAGGAGCCAGAGGGAGACCCCUUCCAAACAAAAGUGUCAAGAGAAUUCCCAUUGCCCUCUACCUUAACUAUUCUGCCAUGAGCAAGCGGCCCUUUCUUCAAGGCUUCAACGCCCAGAAGUCCCUACCUUUGAUAAGGUAGACCCUAACCCAAUUAGACCAUAUCGAAUGGUCCUUGUCCAAGCAGAUAUGCCAAAGAUGCUUGAGCAUAACUGCUCUCUUCCAUUCCCUUGAUUGGUCUAUCGUAUAAAAGAAAGGAGGCUUUUUUGUAUGUUAACGCCUCGUGCCCAUUGAUCAAAGUCCUAAGCUUGGGAAUUCAUCCCACUUCGUUGUCUUUCUCUUUCUUUAAAGCUAGAAAGAUGCAGUGCUUCACCGAGGGUUUGUCUCACAAGAACUGUUGGGAACAACUUGAAGAUUUAUCGGCCAUUUGAGCGAAAGAUUAAGCAUUGGAUCAAGAGAGUGCAUUAGCCUUGAUAGGCUAAGUCGAAGCGUAUCAAUCUCAAGGUCGGCCUGCAGAUAUCACUUUUAGGUCUCCUUCUUUCCACGCUCCUUGAGAAGUUAUUCUGGUUAGUUAUUCUUUUGUAAUGCAUUGGUGCCUGACCCUUGCAAUCAACUUUCAUAGGUAUACCUUUGACGCAUCUCUAUGUUGGGCUUUGGCACAGAAACGCACAGCGGAAAUUAAAAUUUUAAAGCAAUUUCCGAAACCCUAAAACAGGAUCCAUGCGAAAAUCAAUUAAUUCAGAGGUUUAGAGAUUAUACCAGAUAUAAACAAAAACGAGAAUCUGAAACCGACUGCGCCUCGAAUCUCCAACGCAAUACAAACCGAUUNNNNNNNNNNNNNNNNNNNNNNNNNNNNNNNNNNNNNNNNNNNNNNNNNNNNNNNNNNNNNNNNNNNNNNNNNNNNNNNNNNNNNNNNNNNNNNNNNNNNCUAUAGAGAAUGGAAAAUACAGAUUCUUCCUUUUGGGGAAAGCAGAGAUGGAACGAUUGAUAGAUGGUGUCCGUAGGGGCUAUUCUCUAUGGGCCAAAAAAGUAUGCUUCUUUUCCUUUAGAGGUCAGAGAACAGUAGUCAGGUAACAAAACAUGGCACUAAAUGGAAGCUAGCAUCCUGGAAAGGUUUGAUUCAAAGAGAUGGGUAUCCGUUCCGAAGAGCUUGUUCCCCCUUCCCCUAUGGUCUUGAUCCUUUCCAUAGGUACUGCUCCACGAUACCAGAUGUGAGUGAAAGAAGGGCUUUGCUCUAGGUCUAUCUGCUCCAGAGAAAAGAGAUGUAUGGUAUGCCUCACCCGGUCAAUGAUGAAAGAAAUUCGAAAAAAAGAGAGUCGGAAAUACCCUAUCUGAAGGGUUCUCGGUAAGACCAUACAGAAGUAGCCAAACCAGAGUUCCAUGGGUUGAUCAGUCAUUAGGGAAACCUUCCUCUGCCUUGAGGAAUGGGACCGAAAUUGCAUCAUAUAAGAAAGAGUAGUAGCCGAACCAACUGACAUAGCUAGAUCAUCAUCAAAAGAAGAGGCUUCCUUUCGCUCUCAAGUGCUAGUAUCAAAUCAAGGAGCCUUCAACGGCGAAUCGCGUGCGGAAAUGGAAUUGUUUCAUUUUCAGCAAAAAGAUUGUGUUGGUCUUCAGUCAGCUAUACUAAAUGCAUUGGAUGCCUGAGCAACUGCAUCGAUCCCAUUCCUACUUCUCUUGCGUCCCUCCAUCCCAGAUCUCUAGGAACAGGGCUGACAGCAACACCAUUAAUCGAACGAGUCGGGAUGAGAAUCUCACAUGGUGCCAUUCCUGCGUUCUCUCUGUCCAACUCGUUACGCAAUUGACGUAGUAGACCUCUCGCAUGAUUGUUUCAAUGAUGUAUUCAAUCAAGACAAGAAAGAUACGUCGUAAUAAGAUCAGGUUACAUAAUUGGUCUGUGAAGGAACAUCAAGAAAGAGGAUCAGACUUGAUCAGUUCAGGCUAUGUGAGUCGUCUAUCUUCACAGCUGGAAAUGCGCUCCGAAGGACAUUGCUUUCUCCAUUGAAUCAGUCUAAUGUGGAAAUUUCAAGAUGUGAAAUUCAUUCACAAAUCUUGUGUUCUUCUGUGUAGCGUACGGUGUCUCGUGCCAAGUGAAAGGAAAGCUCCGCUUGCUCCAAACCAUGAGAUCCAAGAGAGUGCCCGGUCAUCAUCAUUCCACUCCCUUCUUGGUCUACUUCGGUUACAACUUUAUCUACGGCGCGAUCAGACCAAGUGCGAGAUUGGAUCGAGAAAACAAGCAGGAAGGUCCGCCCUUGAAGAUAGAUACCGACAGAAUCUCAUAGUUAACAGCUUCUUAAUUGCAUUCGUGCUGUGAAAGUUCGAGAUUGAUGGUGGUGGGGUCAUGGAUCUUUCUCCGAUCUCUACUAAGGCUCUUGCACCAUCUUUUGAGUGGUGGUUGGGUCGAAAUAGGCCCCCCGUACCUAAGGGCGUCUCUUGUUGAAAUUAUGAGACGAGAAAUUAAUAUUACUCUAAAGGGGGAGCUCAAGACCGAUGAAAUCUUUAUAUUUAGUGGCCAUAAGGAUUUCUCCGAGUGGUCACAACUUCGUUCGUGGGUCAGACGGUGGUUGAACUACUGUCGAUGGUACUACUGUACCGCGAUGUCGCCUGAGGUGAAGCUUGACGAGUUCUUCAAAGCUCCUAUCGUAGAGUUACACUGGGCCAUAACUAAUAAAGACCAAGACCUAGGGGGUAUGUGGAAGCUGUAUGACAUUGUAGCUGAGAGGGGUCUAUCUUGGACGGUUCCUAUCCUUCCAGAGAACCAUCAGAUUCUGUCUGGUUACUUGUUGGGUGGGAUUGCAGGUCUAACUCUAACUCCCUUAAUUGUCCGAAGGUUAUUGAAGGCUUUAGGCUGACUGCAUCGGUAAGUCAACUCGGGGAAUCAGCUGUGCCGGUUAUGAGCUACAAUAGUGAGAAAGAAAAAGGGCCCUUCCUUUAGAGAAAGGACUGUUAUCUUUGGUUGGGCUCAAUAAACAAGCCUUAUCCCAAAGGGAUACGGAAAAGAAAUCCAGUAUCAUCCGGUGAGUAAAAACUUUCUAGUUUGUUAAAUAAGGGUUACCCUUAACUCUCACCGAAGAUGCAGUCCACUGUGGAAGCCACCGAAAGCCGAGUUCCAUUGGGAUCUCGAAUAAUCGAGGGACAUACCGUUCCGCUAAUUCCACACACUUACCCCUAAAAUCUAUCAAAAGAUUAACAGGAGAAGUAGAUGGAGAGGGCUAACGUCUUAAAGUAAAAAUGAGUCUGUUUAACCAACAAGAUGAAUUUGCUUAAAGAAAAUAUAAGUAGAAUUUCACCAACUUAUCUGCCUUCUCAUCUCGCAUUCUAAUCAUCCUCCUAUGGAAAGAUGGAAUGCAACGUGGAAGUCCGGUUCUUGUCAAACUGACAGGGAAAGGGAGUAGGGAAAUAGGAAUCAAGGGAAGAGAAGAGAACUAUUUAAUAAAAGUUAAGCUCUUAACUUUGCAUGACGGUCUUCAGUCUAGCAUUCUUGUAGUUCAAGAGUGAAUAAGGAAGUGCAAGGCAGCAAUCAUCUGUAGCGGGCUAGCUCACUGAAUCGAUAUCUGUAUUUGUAUACAUAUAAGAGAUGCUUUUUGCUUUGUCUUUUCAUUUGAAGCCGGAUCUACAAUGUAUUGGUAAGGAUCUCUCCCCUGCCUCUUUGGAGGGCUGACAGUUGCUUGCUUGUCUAGCUCAGCCCCUACUGAGCUUUCCGGUAGGCAUCAGUUUAUUAUCAAUUCCCACUUACUUCUGUAAAAACUUCUUCCCCCUUCAAAUGCAAUUCCAACUCGGCCAGAGAAUCAAAGGGCAGAUGGUAUGUCUUUCUAUCCAUCCUGAUUGUUGGAUUGAAAUAGAAAUCAGACUUUAUGCGAGCAAGGUUCAAAACAAAUUGUAUAAUCCGUCCUUCUAUCAAUCGAGAAAAAACAAAGUCUGCUACUUCCUACAUCUCUCAAUUCAAGGCCUUCUAAAGCUUCACUAUGGAAAGGGGCUGAAUUCCAUCCAUCCUUGGGCUAAAAUGCUGAAGUCAAAAAGAGUUGGUAGGGAAUGGCAGUAGAGAGAGGAAAUCGAAAUCCUAUGUCUGGUCUAGCAUGCACAAUGGCCCAUGAACAUUGGGAGAAGAAAGCCUUUUUGUAGCAGAUCUCAAAAACGAUGAUGGUUGAUGGGCUUUAGAGAAAAUAUCUUAUCCGAUUCCUCCCAGCCUAUUGGAAAAAAUUUAGGCUGUUCCAACCCACAAAGAUUUUGUGAAGAACCAGACACCUGGGCUUGGGCCCAUUCGGCCAAUGGGAUUUAGAAUUCUAAAUCUGCCUACUCAACUUGGGUUUGGAAAGCAAAAACCACACGUCGUCUACAAGACUUCCUUUGCCUUGCUGUCCAAGAUCGGAUUCCAACUAAAAGCCUCCUUUGUCAUAGACAAAUCAUACAAGAAAAUAUAUGCCUUUUUUUGUUAAAAAACCAGGAGGAGACUACUCUUCAUGUGUUAAGAGAUUGUGACCAAGCCAAAGACUUAUUGAACCUAAUGGGUAUACCCGUCACUUUAAAACCAACCUUUCAAAUGCCUCUUGUGGAAUGGCUUCGAUCAAACUGUCUUGCAAAUUGCCUUGCCAACCAACCAGGCCUGAACUGGAAGAUCCUUUUUCCGAUGAUGUGUAAUACAACUUGGUUUGAACCUAACCAGAAAAAUCUUUCUUUGAAUUUUUUUUUAAUCAUUCUAUGUAUUCAUGGAAUAAGUGAUGAUCCAAUGGUUCUUACUCAGAGAAUCUUUUAUUUAGCUUAGGGUUUUUGAUUGAAUAUUCUCGUGAUUCUAGUAUGAAUCUGAGGUUUUUUAAUGGAUUCAUAGGGUAGGGUCUUAACAAGAGAAUUCCGAUCAGAAAAGAAAGAAUAAAAAAAACAUUACACAAAACAAAAUUCCAAAAAGAAAUAGGGAUUGAAAGGAUUCAAGAGGCCUGUAGAGAAAAAACAUUUAUCCAAAAGAUUUAUUCAUUACUACUACAUAAAGCACUACAUUACAUAAACAACCACAUAUGCCUUUACUAGAGCUUUCAAAGCAUUAUGCUAACUACAUAAAUUCUUUUCGAAACAGAAAUAAGUCAAAGGAUAGGCCUUAACAAGUAGAAAGAAGAUAAAGUAACUACUUUUUAAAAUUUCUUCUAGUCUUCCCGGUCACCGAGGGUGACAGCCCGCACAAUGAGUGCUUGCUGCUCCUCCCGCAGCGCUUGCAGCCUCCUCUCCAAAUCCCUUAUGUUCUCUCUGGCAGCGCGAAUGCGUUCUUCUGCCUCUGCUGGAUCUCUUGCUCUAACAUUUCUCAAAAAGAGGUUUAGCGCUCUACGGCGCUCUUGAAUUUCAUUUUUCAGUUGCCCCAUUUCGGCAGCAAUUGCAGAAAGCCUGUUUGUAGCAGCCAUAGCCAUACGUGCUAGUACUCAAUUUCUUUGAUUUGAAUUUGAUGAAGUGAAGACACUUAUCGAGCCUCCAUUUAUAGAGUGGUAGAGGAAUCUCGCCAUGCGUCACGAAUUGGAUGGCAGGCACAAUUCUUACUAGUUCUCCACACUACUUUUCUGUUUUGCAGUUGAAUCAUGCCUAUUUUGUGAAAAACUGGCUGGCUCUGGCUACCUUGCGGAGCAAACAAAAUCCCCCCAAAUCACACUGCCUGUAUGAACAAACAAACUUUGUACAACCAGCUUACGUAGAAAAUCUUCCAUAUUCUAUGCCAAUAGACUCGUGACAUCCAUGUACUGAGUCGUCAAAUGAGCCAAGAAAGCCCAAGCUUAUACGCAUUGGCCCACAGGACAGGGUGCCCCAAUAGGGCCCGAAUGAAAGACCCAAGCCUACAUGAACCAUCAAAGAAAGUCCUACAAAUGAAGACUUGUGCCUGUUUCGAUGAAACCUCGAUGAAAGCCCACAGAAGGGCCCAAGCACAACAAGCCUACCCAUCAUCAAAGCAAGCCCAUGCAAGAAGGACCUCAUUGUCAUGGAAGCCCUUUCCUUACUCCUCAAUAUAGUCUAUGAGAACGUUUGUUUUUCUGACCAACUCUCAUGGCUUUAGGAGGGGGCGGGCCCCUACCCUAUCUGUGCUUUCUCUCUUCUGUUCUCUAUUUUCUAUUAGUUGGAGCUGUCUGCUUUUCCCUCUCCCCAACCGCUGUCAUGUCCCGCUACGCUAGUUCUACUGUGCUAGAAUAGCUAAUAGGCUAGAAUAGCUAAUAGGCUAGCUUCCUUUCUUUGGCGCCCUUUCUUAAGGCAGUUCAGUUGCUUGUCCGAUUCCAUGCUUAUGAUUCAAUUCUUCUUGGAAACCAAGUCAUUAGAAAACACCUGUCUGCGGAUUCGAUUCCUACCCUAUUCUCCAUCCUUCUGACCUGGAAAGCCAUUUCUCUGCCCAGAGAUAAACCACUCCCCUGGCCUCCUGGUCUCGACUAUUCAAAGUUCUGUCCAUUUCACCGAUACGCAGGCCGUACCAUCGAAGAGUGUAAUACUUUGCGUGAUGUCAUCUAUGAUAUGAAUGAUGAAAAGAGUCUCAAUUGGAACGAAGUUAAGGCAUACCUUAAAGCCACCAAUGUCACUGAAGCUACUGGGGAUCUAUACUAAUCCAAUGCCACAACAUCAAGGGGGACAAGUCACCACUCAGGGACCUACACCGGUACAAACUAAUCCAGGACCUUCUGCCAGCGCUAACACCAUCCGAGCUUGCACUGCCGCUCGAAGAGAGAUGCCUGUCCCUCAAGUUCUGUAAUUCGAAGGAGGUUCUGAGAAUUCAAAAGUCCGAAGUCACUUUCUUUGUCCCCAGGAAUCGAAGUUUUUGGGCAGCCAACGCCCAGUGAUUUACGAUUUAUACGUAGUGCUACUUUUUCCUUCCCGUCCAGCGAUGGCUCUUCAACUGAGUCGGACGCGGAAAGCGCUCCACCGGAGUUGGACCUCUUAUUUAAAAAGAUCUGUAAUGGGUCCGCUCAGUUACUCCACGAGUCCCAUAGGCAAUUGCCGCCGGAAUGGGACAUACCGGAUCUUAUUCGCAAUGUGAUAGGAAACGAGGCUCUUGUAAUGCCCGGGGUUCUCAGAGAUACCUACUAUGAUCUAAUUUUACGGGGGUCAACGAGUUGGUUAUUCGAAGACCUUACCGCCUUUCUAGAUUUAGUAAACUAUGUAUCCUGAAUCACGAGUCUUAUUUUCUUUCUUAGUCUUAAUGAAAAAGAAAAAGGUAGCCAACCAGAGGAUAAAAGCGUGACGAGGGAUAGCUUUCCUGUGCCAAACAAGCUUAUGCCAGAAAACAGAAGCAGCCCGGGGGCGGAGACUAUCCCAAGCAGAUUUGAUGGAAAAGGAGCCAGAGGGAGACCCCUUCCAAACAAAAGUGUCAGGAGAAUUCCCAUUGCCCGCUACCUUAACUAUUCUGCCAUGAGCAAGCGGCCCCUUUCUUCAAGGCUUCAACGCCCAGAAGUCCCUACCUUUGAUAAGGUAGACCCUAACCCAAUUAGACCAUAUCGAAUGGUCCUUGUCCAAGCAGAUAUGCCAAAGAUGCUUGAGCAUAGCUGCUCUCUUCCAUUCCCUUGAUUGGUCUAUCGUAUAAAAGAAAGGAGGCUUUUUUGCAUGUUAGCGCCUCGUGCCCAUUGAUCAAAGUCCUAAGCUUGGGAAAUCAUCCCACUUCGCUGUCUUUCUCUUUCUUUGAAGCUAGAAAGAUGCAGUGCUUCACCGAGGGUUUGUCUCACAAGAUCUGUUGGGAACAGCUUGAAGAUUUAUCGGCCAUUUGAGCGAAAGAUUGAGCAUUGGAUCAAGAGAGUGCAUUAGCCUUGAUAGGCUAAGUCGAAGCGUAUCAAUCCCAAGGUCGGCCUACAGAUAUCACUUUUAGGUCUCCUUCUUUCCACGCUCCCUGAGAAGUUAUUCUGGUUGGUUAUUCUUUAGUAAUGCAUUGGUGCCUGACCCUUGCAAUCCACUUUCAUAGGUAUACCUUUGACGCAUCUCUGAACAAGCAAAUCUCAAUGCUUCUACUGCUCCCACCUGCCACCCGGUCGUUCUUAUAGUCUCGGGAAUCGCUUUCAAAGCGGAUUUUUCCUUCCUUUUUGCUUUCCAUUGAGUGUAAAGUUCCGGGUAAUCGCCUGUGCGGGAUUGAUUUAGCUCAGAAGCGCUCUCUCUUUCACAGCCGAGGAGUGAGUACACAUCGAUGAGCUUAAGUAAGCGUUUUUGACUACUACACUUUGUUGAUGCAACGAACUCUUUCUAUUCC
rnacentral:lncRNA from 1 species